rnacentral:rRNA from 1 species
GACAGAGGGUGCAAACGUUGUUCGGAAUUACUGGGCGUAAAGCGAGUGUAGGCGGUCUUGUAAGUCGGGUGUGAAAGCCCAGGGCUCAACCCGGGAAGUGCACUCGAAACUGCGAGGCUAGAGUAUCGGAGAGGUUGGUGGAAUUCUCGGUGUAGAGGUGAAAUUCGUAGAUAUCGAGAGGAACACCGGUGGCGAAGGCGGCCAACUGGACGAAUACUGACGCUGAGACUCGAAAGCGUGGGGAGCAAACAGG